rnacentral:miRNA from 1 species
GAGGAGCGGCACAAAUGGACUC